GGGGACUCCCUGGGGCUCCCGGGGUCCCUGAGGGGAGGCUCCUCCCACACCUGGGGCUCUUUUGCAUCUGGAGCCCCGAGGGAGCCGCAGGGAGCCCUGCCCAGGACAUAAAAGCUUCCUCCCUCCUUCCUGCCCCUCAGGGCUCUGGCUGCUCUCUGCUCAGUCUCUGAAGGCCAGGAUGAGCUCCCCAUGGCAGCUGCUCUGGCUCCUGGUGCUCUGGGCUCAGGAUUCCCGAGGAGCCAUUGUGCUGACCCAGUCUCCAGCCUCCUUGUCCGGAUCUCCAGGGGAGACAGUCACCAUCAGCUGCAAGGCCAGUGAGAGUGUAUAUAGCUACUUGCACUGGUACCAGCAGAAACCUGGCCAAGCCCCCAGGCUCCUCAUCUAUGAUGCUAACAGCCUGGCAUCCGGGGUCCCUGCCCGGUUCAGUGGCAGUGGGUCUGGGACAGAUUUCAGACUCACCAUCAGAAGCCUGGAGUCUGAGGAUGCUGCACAUUAUUACUGUCAGCAGGGUUAUGACUAUACUCCCACAGUGCUUCAGGCCCGAACAAAAACCUCCCCAGUACAUCCAGGGGUCUCAGCUCAGAGCAGCAGGUGCCUCCUCGGGGUCCCCAGGGCAGAGCAGCCCCUGCUCUCUGGGCAGGCUCUCACCUCCCAGGGCUUCCCCUUUCUGGUCCCCCGGGUCUCCUCCUUUCUAACUUGUGAUCACAAGCCCUGUCUGCACAGCCAAGGCAGAGGGGAGGCAGCACAGACCCAGGCGAAACAGGGGGAAAACCUAACAAUGAAAUGCUGACAUUUCAGGUCUGUUUGUUAUAUUUUGCCUCAACAGAAAGUGUUUCUCUUAUGAGGAGCCCAAGUUCCCGUUGAGGAGGCUUUCCUCUAUAGCAAUGACAGAAACUCACUGCUGCUCUUCAGCCAUGUCUGAGUCUCUGUGACCCCCUGGGGCUUUUCCUGGCAGAAAUAUUAAAGCGGCUGGUGUCCUUUUAAGACACUGUAUUUCCUCUUGAUCUGUGAUCCCUUUCAGAAUCUCAGCCAUUCCUGGGGAAGCCAUAUCCCCCCCAGACACGUUAUCUUUGCAGGAUGCAGAGCCUUGGAUGCAAUUAGAAAUCCUGCCACAAAGCCCCACUUUGAAAUGCUGUUAAUUCUAACAGGAGAUCUGGGCUGUCCCAGCCCCCACUAAGACCCAACAUAACAGCUUCCUUCACUAAGGUCUUUGCAGAUGGAUCUCGGCAGCUCCUUUGCUUCCAGGACCUUCUGUCCCCUGAGAACUGCCUUCUCUCAGUGCCAAACUCCAUUUCCCAUAGAUCUGCCACUGCAGAAGUCAGUCUCUGGGGAACUGAUUUCUGUCCAACAAUAAACUUUCGU